rnacentral:SRP_RNA from 1 species
GCUGGGCACGGUGGUUCCUACCUAUAGUCUCAGUCACUCAGGAGGCUGAAGUGGGAGGAUCAUUUGAGCCCAGGAGUUCUGGACUGUAGUGCGCUAUGCCGAUCGGGUGUCCGCACUAAGUUUGGCAUCAAUAUGGUGACCUCCUGGGAGCGGGGGACCACCAGGUUGCCUAAGGAGGGGUGAACCAGCCCAGGUCGGAAAUGGAGCAGGUCAAAACUCCCGUGCUGAUCCGUAGGGGGAUCGCGCCUGUGAAUAGCCACUGCACUCCAGCCUGGGCAACAUAGCAAGACCCUGUCUCU